AGCAGUAGCCACGGGAAUACAGAGGAUGCAAGCGUUAUCCGGAAUGAUUGGGCGUAAAGGGUACGUAGAUGGCCUUUUAAGCGUAGGGUAUAAGGCAAUGGCUCAACCAUUGUUCGCCCUAUGAACUGGAAGGCUUGAGUGCAGGAGAGGAAAGCGGAAUUCCUAGUGUAGCGGUGGAAUGCAUAGAUAUUAGGAGGAACAUCAGCGGCGAAGGCGGCUUUCUGGACUGCAACUGACACUGAGGUACGAAAGCGUGGGGAGCAAACAGGAUUAGAUACCCCUGUAGUCCCUGUCUCUUAUACA
rnacentral:rRNA from 1 species